rnacentral:lncRNA from 1 species
GGGAGAGACUGAGGGAACACCAGUGAUUUCAUUGUUGAGAGAGCUGAGGCAUGGAGAGAUUCAGUAACUUGCCCAGGGUCUCAGAGAUGCUGGAGCCGACAAGUUGAAGAAUCAUACGAUUAGCCCUGAGCUAACUGCUGCCAAUCCUCCUCUUUUUGCUGAGAAAGACUGGCCCUGAGCUAACAUCCGUGCCCAUCUUCCUCUACUUUAUAUGUGGGAUGCCUAGCACAGCAUGGCUUUCACCAAGCGGUGCCAUGUCUGCACCUAGAAUCUGAACCAGCCAACCCUGGGCGGCCAAGAAGCGGAAUGUGCAAACUUUGCUGCGCCACUGGGCCGGCCCCGUCUUUAAUCCAUUUUGAGUUUAUUUUUGUAUAUAUGAUCCAGCAUUACCAUUUCUGGGUAUUUAUUCAAAGAAAAUGAAAACACUAAUUUGAAAAGAAUCUGCACCAUCGUGUUCAUU